GAUGAACGCUGGCGGCGUGCCUAAUACAUGCAAGUCGAGCGAACGGACGAGAAGCUUGCUUCUCUGAUGUUAGCGGCGGACGGGUGAGUAACACGUGGAUAACCUACCUAUAAGACUGGGAUAACUUCGGGAAACCGGAGCUAAUACCGGAUAAUAUUUUGAACCGCAUGGUUCAAAAGUGAAAGACGGUCUUGCUGUCACUUAUAGAUGGAUCCGCGCUGCAUUAGCUAGUUGGUAAGGUAACGGCUUACCAAGGCAACGAUGCAUAGCCGACCUGAGAGGGUGAUCGGCCACACUGGAACUGAGACACGGUCCAGACUCCUACGGGAGGCAGCAGUAGGGAAUCUUCCGCAAUGGGCGAAAGCCUGACGGAGCAACGCCGCGUGAGUGAUGAAGGUCUUCGGAUCGUAAAACUCUGUUAUUAGGGAAGAACAUAUGUGUAAGUAACUGUGCACAUCUUGACGGUACCUAAUCAGAAAGCCACGGCUAACUACGUGCCAGCAGCCGCGGUAAUACGUAGGUGGCAAGCGUUAUCCGGAAUUAUUGGGCGUAAAGCGCGCGUAGGCGGUUUUUUAAGUCUGAUGUGAAAGCCCACGGCUCAACCGUGGAGGGUCAUUGGAAACUGGAAAACUUGAGUGCAGAAGAGGAAAGUGGAAUUCCAUGUGUAGCGGUGAAAUGCGCAGAGAUAUGGAGGAACACCAGUGGCGAAGGCGACUUUCUGGUCUGUAACUGACGCUGAUGUGCGAAAGCGUGGGGAUCAAACAGGAUUAGAUACCCUGGUAGUCCACGCCGUAAACGAUGAGUGCUAAGUGUUAGGGGGUUUCCGCCCCUUAGUGCUGCCGCUAACGCAUUAAGCACUCCGCCUGGGGAGUACGACCGCAAGGUUGAAACUCAAAGGAAUUGACGGGGACCCGCACAAGCGGUGGAGCAUGUGGUUUAAUUCGAAGCAACGCGAAGAACCUUACCAAAUCUUGACAUCCUUUGACAACUCUAGAGAUAGAGCUUUCCCCUUCGGGGGACAAAGUGACAGGUGGUGCAUGGUUGUCGUCAGCUCGUGUCGUGAGAUGUUGGGUUAAGUCCCGCAACGAGCGCAACCCUUAAGCUUAGUUGCCAUCAUUAAGUUGGGCACUCUAAGUUGACUGCCGGUGACAAACCGGAGGAAGGUGGGGAUGACGUCAAAUCAUCAUGCCCCUUAUGAUUUGGGCUACACACGUGCUACAAUGGACAAUACAAAGGGCAGCGAAACCGUGAGGUCAAGCAAAUCCCAUAAAGUUGUUCUCAGUUCGGAUUGUAGUCUGCAACUCGACUACAUGAAGCUGGAAUCGCUAGUAAUCGUAGAUCAGCAUGCUACGGUGAAUACGUUCCCGGGUCU
rnacentral:rRNA from 1 species